CAUAUCUCUUAUUUAUAUUACUGCCCCACAUUUGUAGGUCAAAAGAAGUAUCAGCAGGCACGGAGACACAUACCUGUUGUCCCAACACUUAGGAGACAGGAAGAGGACUGUGAGUUUAAGGCCGGAUUAAAGUACAUGGGUAAAAUUUGUCUUAAAAAGCUGAAGAAGGAUAGAAAAGUACAGGAGGUGCAGCUCUGAAACUCUGAACUGGCUGCGGUUCAGCUGAGCCCUUGCCACCGUGAGCGCAAUAGAUCAGGCCAGGACGCGCUUUAGAGGCCUGGUGUAAAGCCGUUGAAAGAGGCAGCACCAAGUUUCGGCUAGGAAACAGCCCGAGCAGUGAAAGGAAACUGGGCACAGACUCACAGGAAGAAUGUCAUGGAAAGAUGGAGAUAAAGCAGGAAGGCAACCACAUAAAGAGGCAGAGGCAGAGGUGAUGCCCGCUCAAGGAUCUCCUGGACCACAAGAAAGAAGCUAAAAGAGUGCAGAGGUCGGUCAGGGGAGGAGGCACAGAUGUGCAACUUAAUGGAAACACUGAGGAAAACCCCGAAGCCCAAGAUCGUCGAUACACAAAUCUUGAAGAAAGUGAUUCUGUGUAAGUCAGGGUUUUAAUCAUCUCUGUAAGGUAAAGGCCAAAUUUGUGGGUUUCCAGAGGAGGCAGCAGAAGACCUGAGGACUCACCCUUAGACCCCAUGCCCAGAACCCUUUCUUCGAAGUGCUUUUCAUUUUGACUAAAGCAGGUACAGGGUAAAGUGACUUGUCAAUUCUCAAGUGACUUGUCAGUUCUCUCACUUAGGAAGUGAGUACGUGAUUAUGUGGCAGGGUUGGGGUGGUCCCCAUAACCCCUUCCUUAUAAGGCACCACAUUAAGUGCAACUUAACAAAUGGACUUUUUCAAUGUCUUG